rnacentral:rRNA from 1 species
UUGAACGCUGGCGGCAUGCCUUACACAUGCAAGUCGAACGGCAGCACGGGAGCAAUCCUGGUGGCGAGUGGCGAACGGGUGAGUAAUAUAUCGGAACGUGCCCAGUCGUGGGGGAUAACGUAGCGAAAGCUACGCUAAUACCGCAUACGAUCUAUGGAUGAAAGCGGGGGAUCGCAAGACCUCGCGCGAUUGGAGCGGCCGAUAUCAGAUUAGGUAGUUGGUGAGGUAAAGGCUCACCAAGCCGACGAUCUGUAGCUGGUCUGAGAGGACGACCAGCCACACUGGGACUGAGACACGGCCCAGACUCCUACGGGAGGCAGCAGUGGGGAAUUUUGGACAAUGGGCGCAAGCCUGAUCCAGCAAUGCCGCAUGCAGGAUGAAGGCCUUCGGGUUGUAAACUGCUUUUGUACGGAACGAAACGGUGAGCUCUAAUACAGUUUGCUAAUGACGGUACCGUAAGAAUAAGCACCGGCUAACUACGUG